rnacentral:rRNA from 1 species
UGGGGAAUUUUGGACAAUGGGGGAAACCCUGAUCCAGCCAUCCCGCGUGUGCGAUGAAGGCCUUCGGGUUGUAAAGCACUUUUGGCAGGAAAGAAACGUCGCGGGUUAAUACCCCGCGAAACUGACGGUACCUGCAGAAUAAGCACCGGCUAACUACGUGCCAGCAGCCGCGGUAAUACGUAGGGUGCAAGCGUUAAUCGGAAUUACUGGGCGUAAAGCGUGCGCAGGCGGUUCGGAAAGAAAGAUGUGAAAUCCCAGAGCUUAACCUUGGAACUGCAUUUUUAACUACCGGGCUAGAGUGUGUCAGAGGGAGGUGGAAUUCCGCGUGUAGCAGUGAAAUGCGUAGAUAUGCGGAGGAACACCGAUGGCGAAGGCAGCCUCCUGGGAUAACACUGACGCUCAUGCACGAAAGCGUGGGGAGCAAACAGGAUUAGAUACCCUGGUAGUCCACGCCCUAAACGAUGUCAACUAGCUGUUGGGGCCUUCGGGCCUUGGUAGCGCAGCUAACGCGUGAAGUUGACCGCCUGGGGAGUACGGUCGCAAGAUUAAAACUUAAAUGAAUUGACGGGGUCAUAGCUGUUU